AGAGUUUGAUCAUGGCUCAGGACGAACGCUUGCGGCGUGCUUAACACAUGCAAGUCGAGCGGUAAGGCCUUUCGGGGUACACGAGCGGCGAACGGGUGAGUAACACGUGGGUGAUCUGCCCUGCACUUCGGGAUAAGCCUGGGAAACUGGGUCUAAUACCGGAUAUGACCUCAGGUUGCAUGACUUGGGGUGGAAAGAUUUAUCGGUGCAGGAUGGGCCCGCGGCCUAUCAGCUUGUUGGUGGGGUAAUGGCCUACCAAGGCGACGACGGGUAGCCGACCUGAGAGGGUGACCGGCCACACUGGGACUGAGACACGGCCCAGACUCCUACGGGAGGCAGCAGUGGGGAAUAUUGCACAAUGGGCGAAAGCCUGAUGCAGCGACGCCGCGUGAGGGAUGACGGCCUUCGGGUUGUAAACCUCUUUCAGCAGGGACGAAGCGCAAGUGACGGUACCUGCAGAAGAAGCACCGGCUAACUACGUGCCAGCAGCCGCGGUAAUACGUAGGGUGCAAGCGUUGUCCGGAAUUACUGGGCGUAAAGAGUUCGUAGGCGGUUUGUCGCGUCGUUUGUGAAAACCAGCAGCUCAACUGCUGGCUUGCAGGCGAUACGGGCAGACUUGAGUACUGCAGGGGAGACUGGAAUUCCUGGUGUAGCGGUGAAAUGCGCAGAUAUCAGGAGGAACACCGGUGGCGAAGGCGGGUCUCUGGGCAGUAACUGACGCUGAGGAACGAAAGCGUGGGUAGCGAACAGGAUUAGAUACCCUGGUAGUCCACGCCGUAAACGGUGGGCGCUAGGUGUGGGUUCCUUCCACGGAAUCCGUGCCGUAGCUAACGCAUUAAGCGCCCCGCCUGGGGAGUACGGCCGCAAGGCUAAAACUCAAAGGAAUUGACGG
rnacentral:rRNA from 1 species